UACAGAGGAUGCAAGCGUUAUCCGGAAUGAUUGGGCGUAAAGCGUCUGUAGGUGGCUUUUUAAGUCCGCCGUCAAAUCCCAGGGCUCAACUCUGGACAGGCGGUGGAAACUACCAAGCUGGAGUACGGUAGGGGCAGAGGGAAUUUCCGGUGGAGCGGUGAAAUGCGUAGAGAUCCGGAAGAACACCGACGGCGAAGGCAGCGUCCUGGCCGAGUGCUGACGCUCAGGCACGAGAGCGCGGGGAGCGAACAGG
rnacentral:rRNA from 1 species